rnacentral:rRNA from 1 species
AUUGAACGCUGGCGGCAGGCCUAACACAUGCAAGUCGAGCGAGCGGCGGACGGGUGAGUAAUGUAUGGGGACUGCCCGAUAGAGGGGGAUAACUACUGGAAACGGUAGCUAAUACCGCAUACUAUCGGAUAACCCAUAUGGGAUUAGAUAGUAGGUGAGGUAAUGGCUCACAUAGGCGACGAUCCCUAGCUGGUCUGAGAGGAUGAUCCGGAACACUGGGACGGAGAGACGGCCCAGCCUCCUACGGGGGCAGCAGUGGGGAAUAUUGCACAAUGGGCGCAAGCGUGAUACAGCCAUGCCGCGUGUAUGAAGAAGGCUCUAGGGUUGUAAAGUACUUUCAGUCGGGAGGCGUUACCGACAGAAGAAGCACCGGCUAACGCCGUGCCAGCAGCCGCGGUAAUUC